rnacentral:rRNA from 1 species
GACGAACGCUGGCGGCGUGCUUAACACAUGCAAGUCGAACGGAAAGGCCCUGCUUUUGUGGGGUGCUCGAGUGGCGAACGGGUGAGUAACACGUGAGUAACCUGCCCUUGACUUUGGGAUAACUUCAGGAAACUGGGGCUAAUAUCGGAUAGGAGCUCCUGCUGCAUGGUGGGGGUUGGAAAGUUUCGGCGGUUGGGGAUGGACUCGCGGCUUAUCAGCUUGUUGGUGGGGUAGUGGCUUACCAAGGCUUUGACGGGUAGCCGGCCUGAGAGGGUGACCGGCCACAUUGGGACUGAGAUACGGCCCAGACGCCUACGGGAGGCAGCAGUGGGGAAUAUUGCACAAUGGGCGGAAGCCUGAUGCAGCAACGCCGCGUGCGGGAUGACGGCCUUCGGGUUGUAAACCGCUUUCGCCUGUGACGAAGCGUGAGUGACGGUAAUGGGUAAAGAAGCACCGGCUAACUACGUG